rnacentral:lncRNA from 1 species
CCCAAGGAGCAUGAAUUUGGAAGAAACAGCACUAAAAUGGUGAGGCAGUUCUGGAAGCUUACCAGCCAAACAUAAAAGUGAUUGCUUUCCUCUGUGAUAUGUCUGUAGCAUAGGAAAUUCAAAAAGAUACAAUUUGGCACAUGACUGUUUCAUUUAGCUACUAGUUAUGGAUGAAUCUUUCCUUCUCAAAUUUCACCAAUCAACUACUUUGUUCAAAUCCAACAACAUUUAAUGAUUUUGCUCCAUGUACAAAAAAGUGCAUCCCAACAACUCUCUUUCAAUAGGAUUGUUGUUGUUGUUGUUUCACUACAAAUAAGACAUGUGCAGUAUGCAUAGGAAUUUGUUUGUAUUAUUUUUCAAAUGAUAAUUCGACCCCUCAACAGUCUGAAGGCUUGUGGACCGGCCCUCUGCUUAAAAAGUUUGGGGACCCCUGUUUUAGAGCUUCAAAAGAUGAGAUUAAAGGGUUAAUUUUUCAGAUUUUUUUUUUAGAUUCAUUUAAUGAGCACUUAAAGCUUCCAGACCUUUUACCAUUUUGGUUGGCCUUCUCUGAAAAUGUCAAUAUCCUUCUUAAAUUGUGGUGCCCGGAACUAGUGGAUCUGACCACAGCAGAAUAGAGUGUAACUAUUACUUCCUUCAAUCUGGACACUAUGCGGCUAUUGAUACAGCCUAGAAUUGCACAGGCUUUUUAGCUGCUGCAUGACACUUUUGACUCAUGUUCAGUUUGUGGUCUACUAACGUUCCUAGAUCCUUUUCAUAUGGAUCGAUUUCAAGUCAAGCAUCGCCCAUCCUAUGUCUUGCAUUUCAUUUUUCUGCCUUAGUACUAUGCAUUUCUCCCUGUUGAAAUUCAUUUUGUUAGCUUUGGCCCAGCUCGCUAAACUGUCAUGGUCAUUUUGGAUUCCCCUUAACACCUGCUUCUGCUGUUCGUAGCAAGGCUGGAAGAAAGAAAAUGGCCACAGUUUCUCCUGUCUCUUUCUCUGUGUUCUUAGAAAACAGGCAACAUGCUGAGCAGAAGAAAAGACUUUUAAGCAGCAGCCUUUAAACAAGAGAGAGCUCUUCCUAGGGAGAUGAGUCCUCACAACACAGCUAGCUCAAUAUUUUUAUUAGUGCUGCGAGCAGAUUAUUCAUAUUUGUUAGGCAGAUGGCUGGUUAAAGAAUGGGAAUUUUUUUGUUAAAGACAGAAAUGGAAACUUGCACAUAUUUGUA